GGCCUGGGCCUAGAAGACACCAUUAGAGAAACUGCCCAUUGAAACCAUAAGGUAAUGCUGUUUGAUGGCAGAUUUACUUUCUUUUAAUAUAUAGGCAAUACUGCCUUAUUAUUUUCCCUUGUUUUCAUGCUGAGAAAAAGCAUCCAGGACAGCAAUAUGUUUCAAGCAGUAGCCAGCGAGAGGUCCUUGAGAAACUCAUCAGGAGGAUACAGUGGUAUUUAUCAUCAAAGAUUUAUUGCUGGAAUUGUAGUGGUAUUUAUGUAUUACCUUUUUAUCUUGCCUUCCCACUAAAAAAUAUUGCUCAAGCAGUGAACAACACUAAAAAUAAAUUAUUUCGCUUCCUCAUCAAAAUCAUUAAAAUUAUCAAGAAAGCUCAAGAAACAUAGCAUUUCAUCUGUGCUGGUUUCUAAAAGUGAAAUGCUUGCCGAGCUUAAAUUAUUUUUUACUAUGUACUUUCAGACUCUGCUGGAUCCCUUUCCUUUCUUUUCAGCUUCUAUCACUACAUGGAUAAUGGAAGAUUAGCAGUGCAAUCAUACACCCACAGACGUAUUUCUACAAACCUCUACCACAAAGCACAAUAUACAAUAAGACUCAAGAAAGAACAUGUCCAGAGGAGGGCGACUGAAAUAGUCUGGAAACUAUGCCAUGUGAGCAGUGGCCUAGAAAGCUAAAUAAACUUGGCUUGGAGAAGAGAAAAUUAAGAGGUGACAUGAUAGCCAUAUUUAAAUAUUCUGAAAAGAUGUCAUAUUAAAGAUGGAACCAGAUUGUUUUCUGCUACUCCAGAUACUAGGACACGGAACAAUGGAUUCAGACUACAGAAAAAAGAGAACUUCCUGAUAGAAAGAACUGUUCAACAGUGGAAUCCACGGUGGAAUAUCCUUUUCUGGAGAUUUUUAAACAAAGGCUGGAUGGACAUCUAUUGGGAGUACUUAGAUUGUGUGUUCUUGCAUGGCAAGAAGUUGACUUGGAUGGCCAUUGUGGCCUCUUUGGACUCCAUGUUUCUAUGAUUAUAUAAUUCUACAAAAGCAUUUUUAAAUAAAGGUUUUUAAAAAAGAUA